AUGAACGCUGGCGGCAGGCCUAAUACAUGCAAGUCGAGGGGUAACAGUUCUUUCGGGAAGCUGACGACCGGCGAAUGGGUGCGUAACGCGUAUAUAACUUGCCUUGAACUGGAGGAUAGCUCUACGAAAGUGGAAUUAAUACUGCAUGUAACGAUAAGGUCGCAUGAUUUAAUCGUUAAAGUUUCGAUGGUUUGAGAGAGGUAUGCGUAACAUUAGUUAGUUGGUGGGGUAAUGGCUCACCAAGACGAUGAUGUUUAGGGGUCUGAGAGGAUGAUCCCCCACACCGGAACUGAGACACGGUCCGGACUCCUACGGGA
rnacentral:rRNA from 1 species